rnacentral:rRNA from 1 species
AACGAACGCUGGCGGCAUGCCUAACACAUGCAAGUCGAACGAGACCUUCGGGUCUAGUGGCGCACGGGUUCGUAACGCGUGGGAACCUGCCCUUAGGUUCGGAAUAACUCCCCGAAAGGGGUGCUAAUACCGGAUAAUGUCUUCGGACCAAAGAUUUAUCGCCUUUGGAUGGGCCCGCGUUGGAUUAGCUCGUUGGUAGGGUAAAAGCCUACCAAGGCGACGAUCCAUAGCUGGUCUGAGAGGAUGAUCAGCCACACUGGGACUGAGACACGGCCCAGACUCCUACGGGAAGCAGCAGUGGGGAAUAUUGGACAAUGGGCGAAAGCCUGAUCCAGCAAUGCCGCGUGAGUGAUGAAGGCAUUAGGGUUGUAAAGCUCUUUUACCCGGGAUGAUAAUGACAGUACCGGGAGAAUAAGCUCCGGCUAACUCCGUG